rnacentral:rRNA from 1 species
GACGAACGCUGGCGGCGUGCUUAACACAUGCAAGUCGAACGAAGUGGCGAACGGGUGAGUAAUACGUGAGCAACUGCCCUCCUUUUUGGGAUAAGCCUUGGAAACGGGGUCUAAUACCGAAUAAAGGGGGAUGGCUCGCGGCCUAUCAGCUUGUUGGUGGGGUGAUGGCCUACCAAGGCGGUGACGGGUAGCCGGCCUGGGAGGGGGACCAGCCACAUGGGGCUGAGAGACGGACCAAACGGCUAUGGUGGGCAGCAGGGGAGAAUAUUGCACAACGGGGGAAACUCUGAUGCAGCAACGCGCGGGCGGGAAGACGGCCUUCGGGUUGAAAACCGCUUUCAGCCAAGACGCGGUAGUGGCAGAAGAAGCACCGGCUAACUACGUGCCAGCAGCCGCGGUAAUAC